rnacentral:rRNA from 1 species
GGCGUAAGGGCUCGCAGGCGGUUUCUUAAGUCUGAUGUGAAAGCCCCCGGCUCAACCGGGGAGGGUCAUUGGAAACUGGGGAACUUGAGUGCAGAAGAGGAGAGUGGAAUUCCACGUGUAGCGGUGAAAUGCGUAGAGAUGUGGAGGAACACCAGUGGCGAAGGCGACUCUCUGGUCUGUAACUGACGCUGAGGAGCGAAAGCGUGGGGAGCGAACAGGAUUAGAUACCCUGGUAGUCCACGCCGUAAACGAUGAGUGCUAAGUGUUAGGGGGUUUCCGCCCCUUAGUGCUGCAGCUAACGCAUUAAGCACUCCGCCUGGGGAGUACGGUCGCAAGACUGAAACUCAAAGGAAUUGACGGGGGCCCGCACAAGCGGUGGAGCAUGUGGUUUAAUUCGAAGCAACGCGAAGAACCUUACCAGGUCUUGACAUCCUCUGACAAUCCUAGAGAUAGGACGUCCCCUUCGGGGGCAGAGUGACAGGUGGUGCAUGGUUGUCGUCAGCUCGUGUCGUGAGAUGUUGGGUUAAGUCCCGCAACGAGCGCAACCCUUGAUCUUAGUUGCCAGCAUUCAGUUGGGCACUCUAAGGUGACUGCCGGUGACAAACCGGAGGAAGGUGGGGAUGACGUCAAAUCAUCAUGCCCCUUAUGACCUGGGCUACACACGUGCUACAAUGGACAGAACAAAGGGCAGCGAAACCGCGAGGUUAAGCCAAUCCCACAAAUCUGUUCUCAGUUCGGAUCGCAGUCUGGCACUCGACUGCGUGAAGCUGGAAUCGCUAGUAAUCGCGGAUCAGCAUG